rnacentral:rRNA from 1 species
UGGGGAAUCUUGCACAAUGGAGGAAACUCUGAUGCAGCGACACCGCGUGAACGAUGAAGCCCUUCGGGGUGUAAAGUUCUUUCGACAGGGACGAUAAUGACGGUACCUGAAGAAGAAGCUGCGGCUAACUACGUGCCAGCAGCCGCGGUAAUACGUAGGCAGCGAGCGUUGUUCGGAAUUACUGGGCGUAAAGAGUGCGUAGGUGGUUGGCUAAGUUUGGUGUGAAAUCUCCCGGCUUAACUGGGAGGGUGCGCCGAAAACUGGCUGGCUAGAGUGUGGGAGAGGAACGUGGAAUUCCUGGUGUAGCGGUGAAAUGCGUAGAUAUUGGAAGGAACACCAGUGGCGAAGGCGACUAUCUGGACAGACACUGACACUGAGACACGAAAGCGUGGGGAGCAAACA